GGCUCAGGAUGAACGCUAGCGGCAGGCUUAACACAUGCAAGUCGAGGGGCAUCGGGAGUAGCAAUACUUGCCGGCGACCGGCGCAAGGGUGCGUAACGCGUGAGCAACAUGCCCGUAUCAGGGGGAUAAUCCAUGGAAACGUGGUCUAAUACCCCAUAGUAAUUAUGUAAGGCAUCUUAUAUAAUUUUAAAGCUUUGGUGGAUACGGAUUGGCUCGCGUGACAUUAGCUGGAUGGUAAGGUAACGGCUUACCAUGGCUACGAUGUCUAGGGGUUCUGAGAGGAAGGUCCCCCACACUGGAACUGAGACACGGUCCAGACUCCUACGGGAGGCAGCAGUGAGGAAUAUUGGACAAUGGAUGGAAAUCUGAUCCAGCCAUGCCGCGUGCAGGAAGAACCGGCCCUAUGGGUUGUAAACUGCUUUUGUAUGGGAGCAAUAAGGGCUACGUGUAGUCCGAUGAGAGUACCAUACGAAUAAGCACCGGCUAACUCCGUGCCAGCAGCAGC
rnacentral:rRNA from 1 species